AGGGAGCAGGGCUUGAACUCAGGAACCACAAGAUCAUAACCUGAGCUGAAGUUGAACACUUAACUGACUGAGCCACCCAGGCGCCCCCAGUUCUAGAUUUCUUAAGAGCUCACUAAAUGAAGCAACAAAUAACCCUAAGAAAAAAAGAAGAAAAACUCAGCCUCAAACUCUAACCUAGUUUUUGCUUCAGCUUUUAAGCAGUGUUUCUAGACAUUUAUCAGCUGUUUACUGUUGCUAGGAAAUGGGCUGAAUACUUGAACAAUAGUACUAGUGACAACGUCAUGUCACACUGAGCGAUCGCUGUGCUGUCUGCUAAAGGGCCAUCUGCACUUUAACAUUUGCUUAGAUAGGUGAUACUGUUCCAUUUUACAUAGAUGGCACCUGAUGCAUAAAGCGGGCCCUUUUGUUGCCCAAGGUAGGGGGCUUGGAGAGCUUCAUGCCCUUGGUGGAUGAGAUACGGUGCCUCUUAUUUCAUAGAUGGAGAAAUGGGGUUAGAAGUGGAAUGACCAGCUGUCCCAGUGUGCUGAGGACUUGAGGUAUUUCUCUGGACUUUCCAGUGCCCAAACUGGGAACAUCCAGGCAAGUAGGGACAAGUUGGUCACCCUACUUGACGUUAAUUUACUCCAGGUGACCUGUCACUUAACGAUGAUGCAAUACUGUCUCUAAUACUACAUCUACUCUCUCCAUACAUGUACUUAGUUCUUUGUGUAUCAAGAUAUAUAGUGCAUCCUAAUAGAAAGACCUCAUAAAAUAGAUUAAGGUCAAACAAAAUCUGUUGUGUCUGUCCACCAUAUAGUCCUAUCGAGAACAAACACUAAUACCAGUCAUUCAUGCAUUUGAUCUGUCGACACAUUUUGAGGGGAAAUAUUUCUAAGGUGGUAAGUAGUCGCUCAGAUGAGCUUUUCAUAGCCUUUAAAGAGGUGCUCUUCUGACCACUUUUCUGUGUCCCACUCAAACUCAUGAGCUGUAUGUUUAUUUUUAAAGAAAAAAUAUAUGGAGUCCUUUUCAGAAGGCAAGCUUUUCCAAUAAAAAUUUAGAAUUUUAUUAAGAUUUAAAUUAUAAACCAACUUCAGCAACCAUAUAGACAUACUGACUACAAACUAAGAUUGUGUGGUACUACAAGUACAGAUUCAGAAUUGUCAUAAAUGCAUAUAUUUUUUCAGAAAUUGGUUUCUUACAGCUUACAAAUCCAUGAUGUGGAAAGUUUAAUGUAAUGUUAAAUAAGUUACCAUUUACCUAGAAGUAGAAGUAAGCUAGAGAAAAUUGAAUGACUGAUAGCAAUGAAUAAUAAAGUUUUAACGGUUCAGUAGUUUUUCUUAAGACAACUUUUCUGUACAGAUACAUAGGUAUAUCUCAAAAUAAUAUUGUUAGUUGAGUUGUAAAAUCCAUAAAAAAAAAAAAGUUUUUCCAGGGUUUACAGAUAGGUUGACUCCUUUUGCUUCCCUAGCCCCCUACCAAGCAGCUGUCAGAAGACCAAAGGCAUGGAAAACCCUGCGCUGUCUAUGAAAUACUCAGUGAGAAGAGCGGUGGAGAAUAAGCAGAGAAGCGCACGCUCUCAACACCACACACACGUUAAUACGAUCACAUAGACCAUAGCCCAGUGAGUGCUGGAAAGUGUUUUCAUGUAGAUUUCAUUUAAGGUCUUCUCAUUACAAGGAAAGUGUCUUUGGCCCUAAAAAGGACAGAAGUCGUCUCUACAGUUGGCGCUUCCAUGGGACAGGACUUGUGAAAUCAUGCACUUUGUGGGGAAGGUAAUUUGGGGUUAUUUUAAAAAACUAGUCUAGAUUUUAUAUGUGCUUUCAAAUAACUGAAUAGAGUGCGUGUGUAGGUCAGCGAGAUAACUUACACAAAAGGAGGCACAGUAACUGAGGCAGGAAUUUUUGAAAUGCACAAGGAGACCCACACUCAGCCUCUGUCUGUGACUUGCUGUUCCACUCUGGUCACAUGACCCCAAAUACAUCCAUGAGGGCCUUUUAGCCACAAUCAGUUCUACUGUGCUUUUCUAACUUAGAAAAUCAAUAACAUACGAACUGGAUGUUGUAUGACACUGGUUCUAGGUGCCCCUGCUUCCUAGUCACAGUCUGUUUCACUGUUCACUUCGUUUUUAUUUGCAGGUGAUGGUAGUGACCAUUUUCAUCCGGUAAGGUACUUAGAAGUAAGCAGAACACACAUAUAUCAACACCCGGUACUGUACAAUUUUCUAGCCAUAUUCUAGCUAUUGACAUUGCUGAUGCUUGGAGUCUACAUAAUAUUUUGUGUUAACUGAUUUGGUGACUAAAGGUAAGAUUGAGGUACCAAAAAUAGAUUCCUUACUACUGAAAUGUUAAACAUGUUGAUUCAGUAUUUUAAAAACUAAAAUGAAAAACUUGGUAAAUUCAGUAUGAGAUCUAUUCGGUAAUAAAUGGUCUAAGGACAUUACCAUGUCUAUAAGUUCUAAUCUAUUUGGGUCCCACUUUAGAAAUGAAUCCUUAAAUAUAUGUUUAGGACUGCACACUGUUGUCCAAAUGAAACCUAUUUUGCUUCCAGGAUCAAAAUAUUCACCAUAAUGUCUGAGGGAUUUAGUAUAAUUUAAGCAAUAUCUCCUGUCUAAUUUCUCAAUACUUAAGAAGUUCUGAGAAAGAACUAUUUAACCUUAUUCGUUCUGAGAACGUAUGCCAAGUUCUUGCCCCAUAUGCCUGUUUUUCCAUUUACAAAAUGGCGGGGGAUGGUAAGUGUUUCCUUCUGUGUUUCAUAAGAAACAGUCUCAAUAUAAUCAUACAUUUUAUUUUCCAUCCACUGGAAAUAGAGAAUGGGUCUUUGCCAUUUCCUAGGCACUUAAUCAGCAAGCUGCUUACUUGUAGUAACCUGCAUAAAGACAAAUUAAUGUCUAUAAUUUGCUUUCCCACAGGGUUGCCAAUGUCUACACAAAAAAGACUAGACAGGCAGAUUCAAAGAGUUUGGAACACGGUAUAUUCUCAAGGGUAACCAUAACAGUCUUUUUUUUUUUUUUUUUUUUUUUAAAGUAGGCUCCAUGCCCAACAUGGGUCUUGAACUCACAAUCCUGAGUUCAAGAGGUACAUGUUCUACCAAACUGAGACAGCCAACUGCCCCCCCCCCCCACCCCGUAACAGUGUUUUUGCUUUCCAACAUAAAGUCUACCUCAAUCCCAGUCAUUUGGUUGCAUCACAUAACUCAGACUACUUAGGUUAGCAUAAAAGUCUCGAGAGGUUCCUUUCUUUACACCUGCACCCUCAACAGUCAGGUCCCUCUGGCUGUGAUGAUAAGCCAUGUGCAGGAAGAGAGUGUCAGAAUGAUUUGUUUUCUUUUUAAAAUUUAAUAUUUAUUUAAAAAAUUAAGCAGCUACCCUUCAUUUGGUAAUGUUAUAUUCUAAUAGUGUUUUCUCACUAUUAAAGCUCUAUUUGUGGGCAUCCUCUAAGGUUAUCAGCAACAAUCCAGUAUUUUAUAAAUAUUUCACUGUGGUGUAAUAGUGCAACUCUUUCUUCCUCAACAAUGAAGUGUUUUUGGACCCAGUUUCCCUGAGUCUAUGCUAUAUAUAUGUGUCUGCCCCUCAAAGAUACGUCAAUUUAGAUGAUGUGUCUGGUAGUAGAAAAAUGGUAACAAAAAUACAAAGGCAGCUUGAGACCAAAUGAAACAAGAUGAAGUGCUUCAGCUAUUGAACACAUUGCUUGUGAGUUUCCCAUUUGAGCCGUUAAGAAUGUCUUCCAUCAAGGUUUUCUAUAUCCGCCUCAUUUCAAGAUGUGCAGUUACUGCAAGUCCAAAAUCUAAAAAGAGUAAGUUAAGUUCCUCUGACUUCAUAAGUUUAGAUUAGCAUGGUCUUCACUACUAUAUUACAUAUUCUAGGUUUCUAAAAUCAAAGUCAGUAACGUUGCACCAAAAGAUUUCUAGUGACCCCAUCCCUCAUCACUGGAGGCUCCUGGAGAUUUAUCUUCUAACAUUUGACUCUUUGCCAAGUGCUAAUAGCCUGAAAUGAAAAGAAAGUAAAUAGAUCAAAUAGCUUUCUUUUAUCUGUUGCAAAUUCAGUUGGAAUCUAAGUAUUCAGCUAGCUUAAAAUCCAAAUCAUUUUAAUUUAAAUAUACAACUACAUCUUAGUGUUUAAAUCACAGCAGUGUUUGAGAUCUAACCCAAACACAGCAUGUCUCACACACCCACAAGCUCAUCAAUUCUAUAGAUCUUCCAGACUCCUAUCAAAGGCUUUGGUCUGUGAUAAAUACUACUUUAGGAUGAACUAAAUUUGUACAUUUAAUUUAUGAAUGGAAUUGUUAAAAAGUUUUUAAUGGCUGUACAAAGAAUAGCAUUGGUUAUUAGCUUGAUAGUUUGAAUAGCAAAACUUUUCACAUGGAAUGCUAUGUUUUUAAGUUGAUAGAAGUUGCUUCCUAGAAGUAGCCAUUAAUUCCAUUUGACUAACUUCUUUUUUCUUGUUUCCAUUACCACCAUUUGUAUGCCCGACAGGGAGAGUGGAGCAAGGGCUGUACUUUCCAACAUGUAGUAAAGUGUAAUUAAAGUGUACAGACUGAAAACAUCUUUAUUGUAUGCUGUGGUGCCAUGCCAAAUGUGUGAUGCAGUUACUGACAGUGGCGACUAGAGUAGUUGUGGACGGGCGCAUACGGCCAUCCAAGUAUCUCUCCCUGCCAUCGUCCCGUCGUUCCCGACAACUUAAAUAAUGGUGGCAGAGGGAGCAUGCCCAGGUGGACACACCUCACCACUGCCUGCAUCAUAACCUGAGCUAGAAUUGAAUACCUAUUCCCUGUUGACUGGCUAAGAAACCUACCUUCCUAAGCUUGUCUUUCUGGGUGGUAGGGAGAGCAUUUUUAUUACUUAUACUGUAUGGUGAUUAGGGAGACUACUUUAAAGGCAACUUUCUGGAAUUCCGGUGAGGAAUGGGUGUGAUUUUUUUUUUUUUUUGGUAUUUCAAUAGACUAUGGUUCCUGAGAGUAUAUAUUCUGCAUUGGUAUAGCACCUGCAGUCUGUGCCCAUCUGAGUGUUGUCAAUCCUGUGCAAGAGGCACAUUAGGCUUUUCUUUGUACAAAUGAGCAAAGUGGCCCAGAGGAUUAAGUGACUUUUCUUAGGUCGUAUGGGACAGUGGGUGGUAGAGCCAGAUUUAAAUUGGAACUAUUGCCUUGUUUCCUAGCAUAAGCUAUGUCAUAAUGAUGACAGGCCUUUAAAAAACGAUGUUUUAGCCUUGUAACAAAUGAACUAAAGGAGAAAUGGGGAGAAGCUGAGGCUGCCAAGGUGCUGCUGCACGAGCUCACUGAUUCCCCUGCUGGAAGGAGCCUAAGGGAGGGGUUAAGUCACACCUGAACACUGUUCCUGGUGUAGGAAUAACAUGCCCUGUUGCUUUAAAUCGGUAUGAUUUCUCUGGAUGAAGGAAACCAGGCAAGUGAGUCAACCUGUGUUGGCUUUCAUGCCCUCUAAGGACGUUGUCCCCCCAGGGAGGGUAGGAAACUAUAGGAGAGAAGGUCACAGAAAGAUAAGGAAAGAAAGAAAGAGAUCCUUCCAAAGCCGGGGCAAUCUGGAAGUCUAACAAAUCACAACAGCCUGUUGAAGCUGUUGCAAAUGUGACUGCAGAAUCCCUGCCUGUAAUCCCGACAUCAGCAAAUGUUCCCGUGUUCGAAAAGGAUGGAUCCUGUAUUGUCCCCAGCUCAGGACAUACUUGAAAAAGUGUGCAGAGGUGUGCAGAGCUCGGGACUCAGUCGUGUCUGAGGAUACAAACGAGGGCCGGUACACAGCCCAGGCCUGCCUGCUUUCACGUCGGGGCCUCACCUCAUUUCAGGUUCAGAGGAAGUUCACACACGCAGCCCCCUUCGGAGAGAACCUCCAUACGGGCAUUGCCCUGUGUGGCAGGAGAGAACCUCGGGGCAGCUGGGGCACCUUUCCUGUGAUACCGUGAGCACUCUUCCAAGGAGCAGAAUUCAGUGAUUCAUCACUUACAUACAGCACCCAGUGCUCAUCCCAGAGCAAGGAGAGGGAAGACUGGAAUGGGAAUGGCAGACAAGGCUUCCCAGAGGAGGAGGGAAACAGGAGGAGGUAAGGAGGGGUCUGCCUCAAGGGAGGAGUGGCGUGCAGCGGCUUUGGAGGAAUGGCUGUGUGGGAGACCCACUGGGAAGCUCAGUGGUGGAGAAUCGACUUCAGGAUGUGGGGUCAGAGUCUGACAAGCUGAGAGAUUCUUUCUGUAAUUUUGGUAAGUAAAUAAAUUUGGUAACAGCAAUAUGGCAGUAUAUAUGUAUGCAUGUAUCUAGAACUUCAAACAGCCUUCCUCUUCCCCUUUCCUUCCCUCUUAGUCCUAAACUGUGGCAGGACUCAGCCCAGCUCCACAUGGGUGGGGGAAGCAGGGGCUGCAUGCCUGGAGCAGGGCAAGAAAGGAACGCAUGAAGGGGGGCGGGCAGGACGUGAGAACGGUCAUUGUCAGUGCAAGCAGGGUGAUGGGAGGUCAGUACCUGGAAAGCCCAAGCUGGGUAAGAGGGGAUGGAGGGGCGUGAAGCCCACAUCAGCAGAGGGUGGCAAUGUGUGGGAACGGGGAUGGUGACAGUGGCUUGGCAUGGGCUGUCAAGCCUGUGUGUAGAGGGGGCCCGGAAGCUCUCUUUGCUCACGUGUACCCUUGUGUGUUAUUACUGCACACACAUGCAGUAACCCCCAGUUCUGUCCUGGGAGGCCUGAUAGUGGCACCCCAGGGCAGUAAGCACACCUACAGCCCAGAUCUUGGCUUUUAAACACCAUUCUCCACAGAAGAAAUCAGAAUGCCUUGGGGGCUGGGGGUGGGGAGAGGUUGGCUUCAGGUCUGAGGCAGGAAAAAUAGGAGAUGCAAUGAAACAUCUAGUUGAACCAGAAAGCAAGAAUAUGCUUCAAGAAUAAUGAGGGGAAUGUAAAAAAGACACAGAAGCCAGUUUGAAGAGACUCCCACUAGCCAAAUCUGAGGCAUUCUGACACCAAAAUAAUGACAGUAAAGACUUACAAUGAAUUGAAUAAAAUAGGCGUCCGUACUAAUAUAAACAAACAGAUUACUUGGAAAUUUGAUGGGGAAUGCAGUGUUCCAUAGUCCCAAAGUACCUCCUUACAAAAUACUUAAUAAUUACAAAGGACGAAAGAAAGCUUCACAGUGGGGAAGCCCUGAAGAUGCCACUGGGGUGAAGUGGUCAGAGGGAAUGGACAUCAUCUGUGGUGGACAGACAAGUGGGGUGCUGCCUGCUGGAAUGUUCCAUGAGCACAGCAUUGCUUCUGUGAUUACUCCUGCCAAAGGGCCGUUGCCUGAAACUAGCUGUGAGGUUUUUUCAGACAAAACCAAAUUACAAAAUAACUGGCUUGUAGCCUGCAGAGGUGUCAAGGUCAUGAAAAUCAAGGAAGGACUGAGAACCGUUUCACAGUGAGGGAGAGUGAAGACAACUGACUGGAUUCUGAACUUGCGCUUUUAAAAAAAUUUUUUAGCGUUUAUUUAUUUUUGAGGUGGGGAGGGGCAGAGAGAGAGGGAGACACAGAAUCUGAAGCAGGCUCCAGGCUCCGAGCUGUCAGCACAGAGACCCAUGUGGGGCUAACCCUAACCCUAACCUGAGCUGAAAUCGGGCACUUGACCAACUGAACCACCUAGGUGCCCCUGAAGUGGUGCUUUUAUUGUAAAGGGGCAUUAUCAAGGCAAUUGACAAAGCAGGAGUGGGGUCAAGGGUUAGAUGAUAGUGUAUCAACAUACAGAUUUUUUUUGUUUUUUUUUUGGUUCUCAUAGGAGAUUUUAUUAAUUAAUGGAAAAAUCCAGGGAGCCAGGGUAUCUGUAUUCUCAUUUACUUUCUAUUUAUUUAUUUUUAAAAUUGAGGGCAUAAUGGACAUGUAACAUUAGUUUCAGGUGCACAACAUUAUGAUUCAAUAUUUGCAUAUAUUGUGAAAUGAUCACAAAAAUAAAUCUAGUUAACAUCUCUCACCCCACAUAGUCACAAUUUUUUCUUCUUGUGAUAAGAAUUUUUAAGAUCUACUCUCUUAGCAACUUUCAAGUAUACAAAUAUGGUAUUAUUAACUAUAGUCCUCUUGGUGUAUAUCACCAUGACAAUUAUUUUAUAACUGGGAUUUUUUUAUAAUAAAUUAUAAUUCUUUUAUAACUGGAACUUUUUACCUUUGAACCCCCUUUACCCAUUGUUCCCGUUCUUCACCCCUGCAGCCACCAGUCUGUUCUCUGUAUCAAAGAGCUUGGUUUUUAUUGUUGUUUUUAACUCCACAUGUAAGUGAGAUCAUACCGUAUUUGUCUUUCCCUGACUUAUUUCACUUAAUAUAAUGCC